AACAAGGCGUACCUGCGGACCUGCGGAGGGAUCAUUACUGAGUGCGGGCCCGCUCCGGGCCCAACCUCCCACCCGUGUCUCUUGCGUACUUUGUUGCUUUGGCGGGCCCACUGGGUCACUCCGGUCGCCGGGGAGCGCUAUGCUCCCGGGCCCGUGCCCGCCAGAGCACCCCUGUGAACCCUGAUGAAGAGAGGCUGUCUGAGUCCCACGAUAAUCGUUAAAACUUUUAGCAACGGAUCU
rnacentral:misc_RNA from 1 species